rnacentral:lncRNA from 1 species
UCUUCAAUCUAAAUGUUGAAUUUUCAACAUCAAUAUCUCCUUAUUGAAUAAUUCGAUUGAUCUCAAAUUUCUUAUAUAUGUAAGAAAAUAAGUCUAUUAUCCACAUAUAUAAUUUUUACUCCAAUCCAAGUAAUAGAUUGUAUGAAAUCUUAGAAACUCUUACUAGAUCUAAAACUCCACUUCUCGAGACCCUGACCUACAUAAACCUCAAUAAACCUCGAUCCAAUCCUUCGAUUAAAUUCAAACUCACAACAUAUAUUGAAUACAUAUGAAUCCACAAACCUUCAAAAAUUUAUCCAUAGAUCUAUUGCCAAACUUAUAAAAUUUUCCAAAAAGUAUCUCUCUUUUUAUUUCACAAAUCCAGAGUCACCCAAAACAAACCCUGACUUUGCAAAGCUCUUACAAAGUCAAUAAAAAUCCAAAUCACCCAAAAUCAAUACUUAUCAAAAUCCUAUCAAGUCUCCUCUCUAACCUUAUUCUCCAAUCUCUCAAAGAA